GAUGAAGAACGUAGCGAAAUGCGAUAAGUAAUGUGAAUUGCAGAAUUCAGUGAAUCAUCGAAUCUUUGAACGCACAUUGCGCCCGCUAGUAUUCUGGCGGGCAUGCCUGUCCGAGCGUCAUUUCAACCCUCAAGCCCCCGGGCUUGGUGUUGGGGAUCGGCGAGCCUCCGCGCCCGCCGUCCCCUAAAUCUAGUGGCGGUCUUGCUGUAGCUUCCUCUGCGUAGUAGCACACCUCGCACUGGGAAACAGCGCGGCCACGCCGUUAAACCCUCAACUUCUGAACGUUUGACCUCGGAUCAGGUAGGAAUACCCGCUGAACUUAAGCAUAUCAAUAAGCGGAGGA
rnacentral:misc_RNA from 1 species